GGGAUUGUGGCUCAGGGAUAGAGUACUUGCCUAGCAUGCAUGAGGCACUGGGUUCAAUCCCCAGCACCG
rfam:Ictidomys tridecemlineatus contig105132, whole genome shotgun sequence.